rnacentral:lncRNA from 1 species
AUUAGUUAUUGUGGGGACCCUAUUAUAGACAACCCAAAAACAAAAUUAAACAAAGUAAAUGAAAUGAUAAUGAAAUAAAAACCCAAUUUUGAUUUUCAAGUAAGAAGAAGAAAAAAAAAGGAAAACACACCAAAAUCUAGAGUACAAAACAAGCAAAAUUCAUACCUAGAUCUUCAUAAACUCUUCUUUACUCGUUUUUCUACUCAAUCAGAACUAAUUAGAACUAAAAAUUGAAAAAAAACAACAAAAAAGACGAAUUCAAAUGAACCCCAGAACAUUUUCUUCUAUGUUUCUAUGCUAAACAUUAAAGAGAUAGCUAAUGGAAUAUCAAUUUUACAUUCCAAUAUUUCUCCACUUAUCUAAUGGAAUAUCAAUUAAUUCAACAUUACACCACCACUACCUCCAUAAUUACCACUACCGUCUUCGUAUCCAUCACCACUGCCUUCAUGUUGACCGCCGCCACCACUUCUAUCUCGAAAUCCAACGCUAUUUUUAAACUAAAUUUUGUUUGUUUAAGAGAGAGAGAGAGAGAGAGGGGAAUUUGUUGUUUUUUAGAAGAAAAGAUGGAAGUAAGGAAGAAAAAAUAAAGAGGCAGAGAGAUAAUAGGAAAACGAAGAGAGAAGUAGUUAGGGGUAUUUUAAGUAUAUUAAUAAAAAAGAUUAUCUAAAAAGGGUCGUUUUUUA